AGGUUUUAGUUAGUGAUUAACAUUCUGGCUCUCCUAGGUCCUAGAUCUUGUUCAUGGUUGUCAAACUCGUUUAUAACUUGGUAUGAUCUUGUUCCAGACAAGCAAGAAGGAAGAGGAUGUUGAAUCUGAUGGCCCACGCCUCAAUGAUAAGAUUACCUCCGAGACUGUAAGAUUGAUUUCCGAGGAAGGACACUGUAUUGUGACUCUGAAGGAAGCUCUCAGACGGGCAAAAGAGCUCAAGCAUGACUAAUUAGUUGAGGUCCAAAGAGAUGCUAAGCCACCAGUGUGUAAAAUUGUAGACUACGCACACUCACAUGACAAGUACAAAAAAGAUUAAGUAGGAAAGGAACGUGCUAAGGCCAAGGUCUGUUACAUGGUCUUG